UACGAGGGGAGCAAGCGUUGUUCGGAUUUACUGGGCGUAAAGGGCGCGUAGGCGGUCGUGACAAGUCACUUGUGAAAUCUCCGGGCUUAACUCGGAACGGUCAAGUGAUACUGUCGGACUAGAGUACAGAAGGGGCAACUGGAAUUCUCGGUGUAGCGGUGAAAUGCGUAGAUAUCGAGAGGAACACCUGCGGCGAAGGCGGGUUGCUGGGCUGAUACUGACGCUGAUGCGCGAAAGCCAGGGGAGCGAACGGG
rnacentral:rRNA from 3 species